rnacentral:rRNA from 1 species
ACUCCUACGGGAGGCAGCAGUGGGGAAUUUUGGACAAUGGGCGAAAGCCUGAUCCAGCCAUGCCGCGUGCAGGAUGAAGGCCUUCGGGUUGUAAACUGCUUUUGUACGGAACGAAACGGCCUUUUCUAAUAAAGAGGGCUAAUGACGGUACCGUAAGAAUAAGCACCGGCUAACUACGUGCCAGCAGCCGCGGUAAUACGUAGGGUGCAAGCGUUAAUCGGAAUUACUGGGCGUAAAGCGUGCGCAGGCGGUUAUGUAAGACAGUUGUGAAAUCCCCGGGCUCAACCUGGGAACUGCAUCUGUGACUGCAUAGCUAGAGUACGGUAGAGGGGGAUGGAAUUCCGCGUGUAGCAGUGAAAUGCGUAGAUAUGCGGAGGAACACCGAUGGCGAAGGCAAUCCCCUGGACCUGUACUGACGCUCAUGCACGAAAGCGUGGGGAGCAAACAGGAUUAGAAACCCUAGUAGUCCCAUG